GAGAUACAAACAUGCUUUAUUCCAUACUGAGCAGCAUUUUGAAACGGCGACAUUUUGAACUUUUUUAUAUUUAGAGUGAGAGUGGAUACACGUUACACUGGCGCCGACAUUUUGAAAAUUUGAGGAAACAAAAACAUUCUCCAACGAGUUCUUCAGCUCGGGGAAUGAGAGAAUAGAUUCACCUUUGUGUCGCUUUUCAGAUCGUAUUUUAAUUCCUUUCCAGUACUUUAAUUUCUUUGAACUUCUCUGUUACUAAGCCUAUAUUGAAUUUUUAAAAUUAAGAAAUCCGUGAUUUUACUUGCAGGCAUGACUGAUUAAUGGAAUUAUUUUACUUUUAUAUAGAAUAUGGACGGCACUCCAGUACAGCAUGUGCAUGGUUGGCCUGUUGACAAUUUUAGAAACGCAUCUUGGUCUAUUAUACAGAGUAUUGUUGUACUGCUCCAAAGUGCUUGUUGACAGACUGAAACCACUUGCUUGCGGCUCAUAAGGUUCACUUCUUGAGAGCAGGCAGCUACAAAAUGGAAGGUCAACAAAUCCAGUAUACUUGAAAAGCAAGAAAGAAACACCAGAAAAUAUAAAAAGACAGAAGAACAAGGGAACUUUAAAAAAAAAAACUUUUAAGGAUAGGAAUUCAGGAUUUAUUUAGAAACUAAAUUUAUUUUGAGAAGAGCAGUGUUUGACAAAGCGCUCUGUUACUUUAAGAGAUAAUGUAUUAUCACAUUGGUUUUGUUAUUGUCGAGCCCGCUUGUGGAAGCGAAGACAUAGUUGUCCAAAUGUCUAUUUGGCAUAUGUGCGUGCGUGCGUCCGUCCAUCCGGAUUUGUUUGUCCGGACCAUAAUUUGGACAUGCAUGGAGCAAUCUUGUUUAUGUAUAGUAUGAAUGUUAACCUCAGUGAGACGGAGUGUCAUGCGCAAGCCCCAGGUUCCUAUCUCAAAGGUCAAGAUCACACUUACAGGUCAAAGGUCAAAUUCAGAAAUGACUGUCCGGAGCAUUUCUUCUUCAUGCAUGGAGGGAUUUUGAUGUAACUUGGCACAAUUGUUCACCAUCAUGAGAUGGAGUGUAUUGCGCAAGAACCAGGUCCCUAGGUCUAAGGUCAAGGUCACACUUAGAGGUCAAAAUUCAGAUACAAAAAUGACUGUCUGGAGCAUUUCUUUUUGAUGCAUAGAUGGAUUUUGAUGUAACUUGGCACAAUUGUUCAUCAUCAUGCGACGGAAUGUCAUGCAAAAGAUCCUAGAAUUACUUCCCUUUGUUGUUACUAUAAAUAGCUUACAUUUGUAACUUUUUUAUUACUGGUCGUAGGGAAAAAUCAAGACUACUUUUCUGCAGUACAACAUGCAUGUUACAUCCAAUUUUUAGGUGUAUUUUGACCUAUCUCUGCUGGUGCGGAUUUUUUUUAAUUUUUUUU